GAGUUCAAGAGUACGUGAAACUGCUUAGAGGUUAAGCCCGAUGAACCUGAAUAUCCGUUAUGGAAAAUUCAUCACUAAUACUGUGUUAUAUAUCAUAACAUAGAAAUAGUGUGCAAUUUUUUCAUAUAAGGACAUUGUAAUCUGUUAAUGUAUUAAAUAUUUAUCAUAAGAUCUUUUACUUAAGUUUAUUCAAAUUAGUUAUUUUCGGAUUUCUAACAUAGAUUAAAUGUAUUAGAUUUGAUAAAUCAUUGACAGAUUAAAUUAUAUAUAGUGCUUAAAUUUUUCGGAAUUUUACAAUGUUAAAUUAAUCUAUUGAUUUAUUUAUAUUGUAUGCACUUAUAUGAUUAACAAUGCGAUAGAUUCAGGAUACCUUCGGGACCCGUCUUGAAACACGGACCAAGGAGUCUAACAUAUGUGCAAGUCAUUGGGUAUUUUUAAUAAAACCCAAUGGCAUAAUUAACUUAACUGUUUUAAAUGGGAUUAGUUUAUAUUUUAUUAUGAAAUAUGAAUUCAAUCCCGGGGCGUUCUAUACAGUUAUGCAUAAUGAUAUUUAUAUUAUUUAUGCCUCUAACUAGAGCG
rnacentral:rRNA from 1 species